AACGCGAAGAACCUUACCAAAUCUUGACAUCCCGAUGACAGACUGUGUAAAGCAGUUUCUCUUCGGAGCAUCGGUGACAGGUGGUGCAUGGUUGUCGUCAGCUCGUGUCGUGAGAUGUUGGGUUAAGUCCCGCAACGAGCGCAACCCUUGUCUUUAGUAGCCAGCAUUUAGGAUGGGCACUCUAGAGAGACUGCCAGGGAUAACCUGGAGGAAGGUGGGGAUGACGUCAAAUCAUCAUGCCCCUUAUGAUUUGGGCUACACACGUGCUACAAUGGCGUAAACAAAGAGAAGCAAAGGAGUGAUCCGGAGCAAAUCUCAAAAAUAACGUCUCAGUUCGGAUUGCAGGCUGCAACUCGCCUGCAUGAAGCCGGAAUCGCUAGUAAUCGCAGAUCAGCAUGCUGCGGUGAAUACGUUCCCGGGUCUUGUACACACGC
rnacentral:rRNA from 1 species